rnacentral:rRNA from 1 species
GGAGCUAAUACCGGAUAGUUCCUUGAACCGCAUGGUUCAAGGAUGAAAGACGGUUUCGGCUGUCACUUACAGAUGGACCCGCGGCGCAUUAGCUAGUUGGUGGGGUAAUGGCUCACCAAGGCGACGAUGCGUAGCCGACCUGAGAGGGUGAUCGGCCACACUGGGACUGAGACACGGCCCAGACUCCUACGGGAGGCAGCAGUAGGGAAUCUUCCGCAAUGGACGAAAGUCUGACGGAGCAACGCCGCGUGAGUGAUGAAGGUUUUCGGAUCGUAAAGCUCUGUUGUUAGGGAAGAACAAGUGCGAGAGUAACUGCUCGCACCUUGACGGUACCUAACCAGAAAGCCACGGCUAACUACGUGCCAGCAGCCGCGGUAAUACGUAGGUGGCAAGCGUUGUCCGGAAUUAUUGGGCGUAAAGGGCUCGCAGGCGGUUUCUUAAGUCUGAUGUGAAAGCCCCCGGCUCAACCGGCGAGGGUCAUUGGAAACUGGGAAACUUGAGUGCAGAAGAGGAGAGUGGAAUUCCACGUGUAGCGGUGAAAUGCGUAGAGAUGUGGAGGAACACCAGUGGCGAAGGCGACUCUCUGGUCUGUAACUGAC